AGUAUUUCCAGCUUUAUUCUCCUGCAUCUUAUCUACACCCUUUAAAGAAAUGGGGGUAAUGGAGGCUAGUCUAGCCAGAUAGCAGAGGUUGAAAACAGGUAGCUUUUUAGCUCAAUACAACCCAUAGAGAUGUCUCAACUGCAAAAUGUCAGCCCACACAAUAUGUUCCAAAAACCUUAUCAACAUUUUCAAAACUAAAUACUUUAAUACAUCACAUCUUUUUUAUUUCUAGUAUCUGUUGAAAAAUCAGAAGAUUCAGCAAUACUAGGCGCACCACCCCUGAUGAAAAAAUCCUCCUGGAUCCAGGAUGAAGCAAACUGCUUCACGAGAAGCCCUAGAGAAGAACACACAGGAGACAUAUGGAAUGAAGCAGGAUUUAUGACAGAGGACAACAAUGGGUGGGGGGUUGGUUUGCAAGACACUACUCUCUUACUCAGUUGGUAUGGCUCCAAAAGGCCUGGAAAGGUGCCAGGAAUGAGCAAAGACCCACCACAACAGAACAAACAAACAAACAACAAUAAAACCCUACCAUAUACAAUGAGAAAACAAAGAAGACAGAAAAAGAAACAUACCCCAUCGGGUUGUGUGAAGCUGUAACAGUUCUGUCUAUGAGAUACUUUCAGGGUGACCAGGGCACACUGGUUGCUCUUGUCUUGCCACCCCAAGGCAAGUCAGCACCUUCUAGAGCCAAGGAAAACUCACUGAAAGCUGAGGGGGAGAGCAGGGAGACAAGAGUGAGUGGCUACCAUAUGAUUUAUAGUGUCAGCUCCAUGAGAACAAGGAUCUUUGUCUUUCCUGUUCAGUGAAAACCACACGUGCUGGGGACAUAGUAGCCUCUCAAUAAUUAUUCUUUGAAUGAAUUUCAUCAGUUGCUAACAUUACCCUGCCAUUCCUUCAACACCGUAAGUUUUGGAUCUACUUUAUGGGGUAGGAAUGUGUCAUUUUUCUAUCAACAAACACAGGGUUUCGUUUCAAAUGUAGGUUAUCAUUCUAAACUCUUACUGUUAUUAGUUAAUGCCUUUUCCUAACAUUUGAGGGAAACAAAUCCAGGUCACAUAUAUCAGAUUCUGUUUCACAGAUUCUAGUAAGUCUCAACACUAGUACAUAUUAUUAUUACUUAAUUUUAGAACGGACCAAUAGUAUUUACAAAGUGAUAUAGGAUGUUACAGUGAAGGUUUCAGCCUUUUGCCUUGAAGCCAAUUACACAUACUCCGAGAUUUUUUUCUUGUUUCGGAGGGUCACGACACAGGAUAUCCCCUAGGGGGCAGUGUGUGCAUAUGUUUCAGCCACGCAAGGAAGGCAUUUAUGGCCGCCGAGGUAAUUGCAAAGGCUGCAGGAGAUCUGGGGGUCUAAGACACAAAUGCACUGUAUGAAGUUGUUCUUUAGGCAGAGCAGAGUGAAGGCGACCUGAAAGAACUGCUCAGUAGAGAAAAACCUAGUGACAAAGCAGAAUAUUGGGGGAUGUUAAUUUUCAAGGCUCCAGCCGCUUAAUUGCGGAAGGUUCAACACAGGAAUAAUUUGACAUGCUCCUGAACAUUUGCUAAGGGGUUUCUAAUAUUUUUAUUUAUUACCUUUUAUAUUUCAUGUUUCUGACAUCCAUGCAGAAUUGAGUUUCAUUUUCUUGUCUAUUCUAGGUGGCAGUUCAAAUUCAAUUAAAGUUAACCAGUUUUGAGUAAUAAUAGUUGAUACUGUAUUAUUGAG
rnacentral:lncRNA from 1 species